rnacentral:pre_miRNA from 1 species
UCGUGUUACAAACCGGUGCUAAAGGGUCCUGCCCGAUGGCUACUGACAUGUGCCGUCGGGCAGAGACCGUUUAGCACCGGUUUGUAACACGAA